ACUGAGAAUAUCUCGACGGUUGCCCAGCCUCAUGACUCGUGUUCAAGCUGUUUCUCCCCGUAAAAGGCUUGGCAUUUUCCUUUCUCAGGUCUGCUUGAGUAUGCAAGCUUUCAGCGAUAACCGACUGACUCAUAAAAUUCGGCAUUCUUCUUUGACUUACAGGAGGUCCACUCGAUAAGUGCUUCGAACGUGGAGAGGAACUUAAGCGUCCGAAGUUCCUUGGAGUUGCUAGUGGCUUCGGAGGACCAGGUGAGAUUUUUCUUGUGGAUGAGGUUGUAGAGCUUGGAGAUGACUCUUGCUUGCAGCGCAAAACGUUGGAAGUUCUAGUCCGGGUCCCUGACUUUUCAUUUUGCAGAGCUUUGAUGGAGUCUAAGCGCACAUCCUGUAUAAGAAAGAUCAUCGAACCGUUAAACAAAAACUCGAGGUAUGUACCUUUUUCACGACGUUUUUCGUGGCUUGAAGCUUUAUGGCCCGUAUCUGCUCAACUGUCAUCGUAUUGUUCUUUUCUGGGAGCCGCGUGCUUUUUCCCAUAAGUUCUGUCUUGCGCCUUUCCAAAACAUCCUGCAUUGCUCUCAGCUUCGAUUCUCGCUCUGCUUUCAAGUGUGUCGAUUCCUUCUUGUAUUUUGCGGCUCGUAUUUCUUGAUACUGGUCGUAAAACCUUCCCUUCUCAUGCUCGUGAGGAGCUCUUGUUGCCAUUACGUCGUCGCUAUUGGCUUUACCGUCAUACUCUGCUGGAGUGCACAAUGACUGUCUCCGAGAGGCUUCCUUGGUUGAAACGUUAUUCUCGACGAAGAUGUCGUCUAAGCCGAACUUGGAAACAUUCGAGAGUGAUCUCCAUUCCCUGCUGUCGCUAUCUGUUUCGACAUUUGCCUUGGGCUGUUCCGGUUUUUUAGUCUGUCGCAAGGCCGAAGCAGAGAACAAGGCGUCUUGCACAACAGAGUUUAUUUUCAGCAAGCACGUAUAGCUCCUAUCAAGCAGUUCCUUGCUGAUUUCGUCCGCAGAUUUUACUGUGCUCUGGUUGCUUGCACCUGUUCUUUGCUGAGUCCUACUAAGCAACUCUUUUCUAAUCUCGUCUGCAGUUUUUGCUGUAGUGUUCUGACGGCUCCCGCCCUCUUUUUGUGUUCUAUCAACCUGUUCCUUCCGAGUCCUAGCCAGAUCAUUCACAGCGUCCAUUUUAGUAUGUCCUCUUUGUCCCUUGCUAUCUAAACUUGACUUUUGCAGAAUGAAAUCACGGUCUCUCUUCGGCAAACCCGACUGUAUACUUUCGGUAAGCAUGCUUUUGCGCCUGACAUCGUCACUUAGAAGCUCCCGCGGUCUGUGCUCGUGCUUGAGUGCGUGCUUGUGUCCGUCACUUGCCGCUGGGUCUUGCUUUCCUGUACGUGUUGGAGGAUCCGACAUCUUCCUAUUUGUGUCCACCUGUUGUCUCGAAACCUCCCUGGAUGUUUUCUGCUUGGUUUCAAACAGACUAAUGGCUGCCUGAACGCUGAGCCGUCCGCCACUGCCACCUUUUGUUUCAUUCUCACUGUCUCUGUCGCUCUCUGUGUCUGACUGCUUUGCAAUGAUGCUGCUUGCUCCGGUCUGCGGAAACUUGAGGUUCUUGAUGACAACGAUCCCUUUUCUUCGAACCGCAGACGCAUCCACCUGGUUGGAUGCGGACUUGGCCUCCCCAGUCUCACCACUGUCGGCGUCUUUCCCGCUUAGUUGACCGAGCACAUUUGCGUAAACGGGGUUCUCACUGCUGCCUUCCUUGUCUUCCCAAUCAGAUUCACGGCCUCCGGAAGCAGUGGACUUUUGUGGCGAGUCGGAGUCAUCGGGAGUAAAUGCGCCAUCUCCUUCGGACUCAGGUACACUACCAUUCACUCUUUCCAACGGCAUCUGUAGUGGGAUCUCAGCGACAGGUGGUCCCCAUACCCUUCUCCUUCCAACGUUUUUCACCACCUCAACCUCAGCCUGUCCUUCCACCUCUAAUUUUUCCUCCAGUUUUGUAGAAGCCCGAGUCUCUGAUUUUUCCUCCAGUUUUGUAGAAGCCCGAGUGUCUGAGUUUUCCUCCAGUUUUUCCGCUGAAACGUCCGGAUCAAGUAGUUUCCUAUGCAAUUCCGCAAACUUCGAGCAGGCCUCACUGCAUAUAGUUUCGUCAGCAAAACUUGACCAUGAAGUGCUGCGUUACCUCAGCCGGGUGGCACCAAAGCAGCCUGCGAAAGCGAUCAAGUCAGGCAGACAACCAAUGGUGAAGCCCGCUGCCGCUGCACGAGCAAAUGCACUCCUUUGCUCCUUUUCCAGAAUAAGUCGCCGUGCAUCCAUCGCCUUUACCAAGUGCCUCCUGCCACCCGGAAGGGAGAGCGCAUUGAAACCGAGCGUGGAAUUCUAAGAGAGAGAGCUCGUCGGCCUUUACCUUGAAGACUCAGUUUCAACCUCCAGGGUGUCCAUUGAAUGCUCCUCUGCCUCCGCAUGAGCCUGUGAAGGACGGAUUCAGAACAUGCCGAAACUCAUAUCUAGUUGCAUUUCAUCUCGUACCUGCGCUUUGGCUUGCUCAACUUUUUCCUUGCCUGAAACAUCUCCCGUGUCAGCGGUCUUUACGUUCUCGGUUCUAAUUUUUAAGUGAUUUAACUAACCUGCGUUUCCAGAUUCGAGAACUGGGAGUGGGAGGCAGGCUCCAACCUGUGGAAAAAAGCAAAUUCGCAAGCACGAUGAGGGAUGUCAUCGCAACGAGUAAUUCCCAGCGCUUACGCGAGGUGAUUCGCUUAUCAAGAUGCUGCUCGCUUCAGCGAGUUUCAUGCGCUCCGUCUCCAAGAAGCUCACACGCUCCAACACAUCGGGCGUGCUCACAAAUCUCACGAACCUGUCGCUCAAGUGG
rnacentral:lncRNA from 1 species